GAUGAACGCUGACAGAAUGCUUAACGCAUGCAAGUCAACUUGAACUUCGGUUUGGGUGGCGGACGGGUGAGUAACGCGUAAAGAACUUGCCUCACAGAUAGGGACAACAUUUGGAAACGAAUGCUAAUACCUGAUAUUAUGAUUUUAGGGCAUCCUAGGAUUAUGAAAGCUAUAUGCGCUGUGAGAGAGCUUUGCGUCCCAUUAGCUAGUUGGAGAGGUAACGGCUCACCAAGGCGAUGAUGGGUAGCCGGCCUGAGAGGGUGAUCGGCCACAAGGGGACUGAGACACGGCCCUUACUCCUACGGGAGGCAGCAGUGGGAAUAUUGGACAAUGGACCAAGAGUCUGAUCCAGCAAUUCUGUGUGCACGAUGAAGUUUUUCGGAAUGUAAAGUGCUUUCAGUUGGGAAGAAAAAAAUGACGGUACCAACAGAAGAAGUGACGGCUAAAUACGUG
rnacentral:rRNA from 1 species